rnacentral:rRNA from 1 species
AUUGAACGCUGGCGGCAGGCCUAACACAUGCAAGUCGAGCGGGGUAUUCGGACCUAGCGGCGGACGGGUGAGUAAUGCGUAGGAAGCUACCCGAUAGAGGGGGAUACCAGUUGGAAACGACUGUUAAUACCGCAUAAUGUCUACGGACCAAAGUGUGGGACCUUCGGGCCACAUGCUAUCGGAUGCGCCUACGUGGGAUUAGCUAGUUGGUGGGGUAAUGGCUCACCAAGGCGACGAUCCCUAGCUGGUUCGAGAGGAUGAUCAGCCACACUGGAACUGAGACACGGUCCAGACUCCUACGGGAGGCAGCAGUGGGGAAUAUUGGACAAUGGGCGCAAGCCUGAUCCAGCCAUGCCGCGUGUGUGAAGAAGGCCUUCGGGUUGUAAAGCACUUUCAGUAGGGAGGAAGGGUGUUGUGUUAAUAGCACAGCAUUUUGACGUUACCUACAGAAGAAGCACCGGCUAACUCUGUGCCAGCCGCCGCGGUAAAAC